GGCGGCGUGCUUUAACACAUGCAAGUCGCACGAGAAAGGCUGAUUUUCGGAUUGGCCGCGGUAAAGUGGCGCACGGGUGAGUAACGCGUAGGCAACCCCCCCUUGUGUCCGGGAUAACACUUCGAAAGGGGUGCUAAUACCGGAUGAGACUAUGGUUCGGGAGGAUUGUAGUGGAAGGGAGCCUCUUCAAAUGAAAGCUUCCGCACGAGGACGGGCCUGCGUCCUAUCAGCUAGUUGGCAGGGUAAAAGCCUACCAAGGCUACGACGGGUAGCUGACGCUGAGAGGAUGAUCAGCCACACUGGCACUGGAAUACGGGCCAGACUCCUACGGGAGGCAGCAGUGAGGAAUUUUGCGCAAUGGGAGCAAUCCUGACGCAGCAACGCCGCGUGGGCGAUGAAGGCCUUCGGGUCGUAAAGCCCUGUCGGGCGGGAAGAAAGAUUGUGGGUUGAAUAGGCCUGCAAGUUGACGGUACCGCCAGA
rnacentral:rRNA from 1 species